ACAAAGACAUCAAAGCCCUGCUGUCACGGAGAGGUGUGGAGAGAACCCAAGCGCAGGCAGGCAGUGAAGGGGUUAACAAAAAAGGACAUUUAUUUAAACACAAAAACGAAACAAAAACCCACGAUGGGGAAAAACGGAUACGAUAACAAAACAUAAAUUAAAACAAAACACUUCUCACAGGGGAGCAAAAAAUAACCAAACAAACUAGCGACACAAUGUCUAAAUGAAAAGCGAUGCGAGACAAGACAAGGGUAUCCACAACAGGUAAUCCACAGUGUAACGUAGCACACAAGAUCCAAGGCACACGACACGGUACAUCCACAAACACAACGUAAUACACGAGCACAGGACAAAGAAACAAGAGGGUAUAUAUAGGGAGGACAAACGAGGGAUAAUUAACACAGGGCAGGUGUGGGUAAUAAAACACUCAGGGAAAGUUAACUAGGAAACGAGAGUAGAGGGGCCAAUGACGAGACACUGGAGAGAACGCAUAUUAUUGUCAAAAGGACAAUAAUAUGUUUCUCUCCACACAUAACCAAAGACUUUGCCAUGGCUCUGCUACAGGACCAAGAAAGACAUGACUAAAUGAAGCAGAGCCAUGACACCUGCUCUGUCAAAAAGGAAUGUACACCUACCAGGUCUCCAUCAUUGCCAUUCUUCAGUUGAUGAAGUAGCCUUCAAGAACAGCCAACCUCCACCAAGAUGUCUGAGGUGACAACACAGACCACAAGUUAUUAUGCUAGGAUGGUCAGCAUUGAGGGCUAGGUCUUGAAGCUAUCCAUCUGUAUGCCUUUGUCGUGUGUUAAUCUGGAGUAUCAGCAUGCACUAUGCGGGUGAUGGUACAAAGAUCAUCUGUCUAGCAAUGUACCAGUGCCAGUUCAGCACCAGAACAGAGACAAGCCUAGAAUGGAUCUUGUAAGCUUUGUGCCUGUAACAUUAUACUGGUGUGUUUUGUUAUAUAUAAUAGAUUUUGAACCAUAAUAUUGGCUGUAUUUACAGUUUUUGACUUAUUGUUUGAUUAUUCUUAAAGAUACUGUUUUAUUGUUAUGAUUUUAUCAGUUGCCAUCAGGCACUGAUGUAUCACAUUGUUAAA